UAUUAUGAAGUUUAAUUUAAGCUUAAAAGUUUUUUUUAUUUUUUAUUUUACAUGUAAAUUUUUGUGUUAAUAAAAAAUUAUUUUAAUAAUAAUUUUUUUUUUUAUAUUCGCAGUAUAAAAUAUUAAAUAUUAAGUAAUUUUAGAUUUAAAAAUAAAGUUAAUAAUUAACAAAAUUUGUGCCAGCAGUUGCGGUUACACAAAUAAUUAAAGAAAAUUUUUUCUGGGGGUAGUUAAAAUAAAAAUAAAAAUUAAUUUUAAUUAAAUUUUUUAGGUGAAAUUUAAAAUUUAUAUAAUAUUAAUAUAAAAGUUUUUGAGGCUAAUAAAUUUAAAUUAAAAACUAGGAUUAGAUACCCUAUUAUUUUAAACUUAAAAUUAACCCUAAAUUAGUAAAAGUUAUGUUCUCUAAAAUUAAAGAAUUUGGCGGUAUUUUAGUCUUUUCAGAGGAACCUGUUCUAUAAUCGAUAAUCCACGAUUAAUUUUACUUAUUUUAUUAAUUUAUAUAUCGUCGUAGUUUGAAUGUUUUCAAAGAAUAAAUAAUAUUCAAAAUUUUCAUUAAAAAUUAAAUCAGAUCAAGGUGUAGUUUAUAAAUAAGAAGAAAUGGGUUACAGUAAAUAUAUUUUUGGAUAAAUUAAUGAAAUUUAAUUUUUAAAUUGGAUUUGAAAGUAAUUAGAUAAAUUUUUAUUUAAUGAUUUAAGCUCUAAAAUAUGUACAUAUUGCCCGUCGCUUUUGUUUUAAGAUGAAAUAAGUCGUAACAAAGUAGAUUUACUGGAAAGUGAAUCUAGAAGGU
rnacentral:ncRNA from 1 species